GCAAGACCACCUCCAGAUGUGGUCUGGUUGAAUCGAACGCAUUCGGAUCACUAUGUGCACUGCACGCAUUUACACCUUACAUUAACAUGUCUUUUUCCUGAUCUAGAGCUGCCCGUCCUUAUUUCGUGUCCUGCAGGACAGAAGAGCAGGCGGUGAUGGAAUUGAAGGGGACUUCAUCACGGUGCUUACACCUUUCACAUCCCCUCACAUCAUUAAAUGAAAAAUGAAUGGGUGCACUUA